rnacentral:lncRNA from 1 species
AGGUAGCCCAGCCCACUAUAAAAGGGGCUGCUUGGCCCCUCCUCUCUCUCUUAAGAUCUUGUUCUCUUUUUCUCAUCUCUCACCCUCCUCACCCUCCUCUCUCUCCCUCUCCCUCCCCCCUCUCUCCCCGUGGCCAUGGCCAGCCUCUAUUUCUCGACCUUUCUCUCUCUCUCUCUCUCUCUCUCUCUCUCUCUCUCUCUCUCUCUCUCUCUCUCUCUGUUUUCUACAAUAAAGCUUUAAAACCACAGACUGCCUCCUUUCAUCUAGACUUGUUGUGCUGGAGCCAUGGAAUAGGCUUUCUCCUAAAGAGCCACGUAUAAUCUCCUGCAGGAAGGCCUCCCAGCAUUUCCAGCUGCUAGACCGGACCAAGGACUCUUGCCUGCAUGGGAGCCAGCCAGUGCCUUCUUACCCUGUCCCUUCUCUCUUCGGUCCCAGGGCUGAUUGAGCUGCCCCCGGGACUUCCACUUUGUUCUCAGUUCUUCUGAGACAUCCAGCAGUGUCUGAGAUGUCCGAAACUGAUAACCUGUCAUCUCUGGCCUCCGUGAGGACCAGGAACCCCAGAGCUGGAUCUUCCACUGUACCCAGUGGUCUGUGGUGGCCCAGAUUUAGAGCUGAAAGUGCACCUUCCCCACCCCCCAGGAGCGGGGUCUAGCGGGCCCAAAGCCCAUCCCACGGUGAUUCUGUAGGGUCCUGCGGCAGUCUCCCGUGUCUGCCUGUCCAGUCUCCCCAUGUCCGGCACCCGGAAGGCAUGGAGUCAGGAGAGCUGGCGGGAGCAUAAUGCCAGAAAGCAGUCUCUGUCUUUGAAGAAACAGAAGUACAAAGAUGAUCCGACAAUUUGGAGGUUAUAGUUUUGCAAAAUUGUUUAUUAUUCAUCGCAUUUGGAAACAGGGCAUCGAGAAGAUAAUCAUCUUCUUCAGCCUGUAUCUCUUUAGCAUGCUUCAAUUUAACUUCACCCGCUAGAAGACACCCUACAUAGAUAAAGACAAUAAAUGACAGAAAUGAAGGAGAAGACACUGCAUCCAGGCAAGGAGAACGUGGAGACGGUGACUGGGCUGGUCAGUGGUAGUGGCAACUUUGCUUGAGAAAAUGUCGUUGAUGCUAAGGAGAAGUCAGCCAAGAGAACAAGUAAAAGAACCUUCUAGGAAUAAGGCACCUAGGAAUCUUCUAGGAACCUUCUGGGAAUCUAGGUCGGGGACAAUGAGCAUCCUCAAGCCUUGAUAAUCUGCUGAACUACCUUCUUGAUCAGAAACUGGUGAUGGAGCUAGGAAAGGAGUGGAUGGGAAGGGAAGGCAAGCCAGAUCCUGACAGUGAUGACUUCAGACAGCGAGCCCAGAAGAAACACAUGGGAAGGGCAUAACUCCACCCCCAGAAGGCGUUCAUUUGCAAGAACUUUGGAUUGAAACCAAGUUAUCACACUCUUUGUUUAGAGCCUAAGUUGAAGCCAGGCUUGGUGCUUGAGACUCCCAACACUGAUUACCUGGUGUUUGACUCUUCAUCCAUCUGGCUUUCGUUCCUGUUCUACCCAGCCUGCUUCUUUAGCUCCUCGCCAUCCAGUCUAGCCAGACCAAUCUUCUGAAGACCUUUCAUUCGACAGAGAAUAGACACCAUCCUGUGUGUUCUCACCAUUAUUCCUAAGAGAUGCCUGGUCCAUCCAAAUCUUAGGUCCCACUCCAUAUCUUCUCUACCCUUAGUCCUGAGAGGGUCGUGUACUUCAUUACUCUUAUGCCCCUGACUGCCUUCGUGGGUCAGCUCAGAGCCUGCAGUCAAGGAGAGGUGGUCCUUCUUCCCCUUAGUGGAUACACUUAGGUGGACUCCUCUUUCCCAUGCCUAAGAGGCAUCUCAUGAAGACCCAAAAGUUUCCUGGGUUAUUUGUAACAAUUACAAUGGUGUAAACUUGAUAAUGAUAUUUAUUUUCAAGUAUUAAAAAUCUCCCCUAAACUAAAUUUAUAGGACCUAAGCUG